CAGCUUUGAGAAAGAUAUUUCUGUUGUAUAGGAUAGCCUCACUAUGGGUGCAAAUAGAGUGUAUGCAAAGUUUUCUUUCCUUAUAGUACACAGUUAGUUAUAUCAGCAAACAUCUUUGUUUUAUUACUUUCCUUCUUUCACAUUUGAAUUUUCAAUCAAUUGUUGCCUUACCCAAGGACUUCAAGCCAGAUUUUGAAGACUACUCACCAGGUACUUUCAGUAUCAGGCUGCAAGUGACAAAAACGGGGACUGAACGUGUUAUGGUGAAGAAAAUACAUUCUGUUGAGUUAGCUGAAAGUUGACUGUAUCACAAGAACUCACUGCAAGUGGAGUAUGUGAAAUAGAUGCAGACUGGAAUAUUAAGUGAUCAGUCAGAAGCAGUUACUUGGAAGAAACAUAUUUCUGGACUACAGACAGAAGGAAAGCAAACUGCUUUCUCUAUUUAAUUUUUUGGAGUUUGGCAGUUCUUUACGUUUACUCCUUCACACUUUCCUCUGGAGCAUCUUGGAGUUGGGCAGUGUUUCAUGAUUUCUGAGGGGCAUCUUUGGAGAGCAAAGCAGGACAGAAAACAUGUUAAAUGUGAUCACAAAGGCUUAGUACAAGGUUAUCAUUUCUGUGCAGAAGAACAUGACAGAAAAUGCAUGGCCGUACACACCAGUUCUGCCACCCUUUCAACAUCUAAUCACCAGAAAAAUCAAGCCCUUCAGGCAGCUCCCCGAAGAAGAAAAUUAAGGUACAUUUUUCUACUGUCUCCAACUAUUUCUGACCUCCUCAGGAAUAAAAAGACUCAGAAAUGAUCACCUCUCUGCAUAAAAUCCUGAAGUCAAACAUGAAUAAAAUGGAUAAAACUCACCAUUCUGAAUACUAUACAGGACUUCUGAUAUGGGAGUUGUCUAAAUGAAAUGGAGGACUGGAGGGAAGUAUGAAGUGUACAAGGAACCUUCCUACAUUGGCACAGCCCCUUCUUGACCUGGUUGUCUGGUAUUUGUAAAUGUUUUCAAUCAACUCUCUAUGCCCGUAUUACCUCGCUUCAAUUUUGUUCUGAGCAGCCAUACAUCUGUGCACCACAGCAUGCUGAAGACCAAAUAUCUCUAAUUAGGAACAUAACACUUUUAAUAUGUUCCACAUGGGAUCAUCACAAAUAGAGUUUACUGCCACCACAGCUCCUUGAGGGUGAGAUGGCUUCACUGCCUGACCUGUGCUUUCACAAUGUCUAUCAUGAUUUUCACCUUCCUCUUUCUCAUCUGUGCUUCCUAUAAUAUGAUGGAUAUUUCUGUUCAUAAAUGUUCC
ensembl:lncRNA